AACCAUGCAUAAUAUUCAAAUAUGAAGUUCAUCAAAAAUUGAUUUGACUUAAUCCAAUGCCGAGCAUAGAAAUAUAAUUAAUUUUAUGGAAGCUAUGAAUCUAUAGCAUAUAAUUUGAUGGUUGGAGUUUGUUGUUGGACAUAAUGUGAUGGUUGGAGUUAUCCUCAUUAAUUGCUCCCCAACACAUUGAUAUUGAUAGAUACAAUAAUACCAACCAUGUACAACCAGAUCUUUAAGUCAUUGAAGGACAUACUCAAA
rnacentral:lncRNA from 1 species